rnacentral:rRNA from 1 species
AUUGAACGCUGGAGGCAGGCCUAACACAUGCAAGUCGAGCGAGCGGCGGACGGGUGAGUAAUGUAUGGGAAACUGCCGGAUAGAGGUGGAUAACUACUGUAAACGGUAGCUACUACCGCCUACCAUCGGAUGUGCCCAGAUGGGAUUAGCUAGUAGGUGGGGGAAAGGCUCACCUAGGCGACGCUCCCUAGCUGGUCUGAGAGGAUGACCAGCCACACUGGAACUGAGACACGGUCCAGACUCCUACGGGAGGCAGCAGUGGGGAAUAUUGCACAAUGGGCGCAAGCCUGAUGCAGCCAUGCCGCGUGUGUGAAGAAGGCCUUCGGGUUGUAAAGCACUUUCAGCGGGGAGGCGUUACCCGCAGAAGAAGCACCGGCUAACUCCGUGCCAGCAGCCGCGGUAAUUC